CAACUUUCAGCAAUGGAUCUCUUGGCUCUCGCAUCGAUGAAGAACGCARMRAAUCGCGAUAUGYAAUGUGAAUUGCAGAUCUACAGUGAAUCAUCGAAUCUUUGAACGCACCUUGCGCUUCUCGGUGUUCCGAGGAGCAUGCCUGUUUGAGUGUCAGUA
rnacentral:rRNA from 1 species